rnacentral:RNase_P_RNA from 1 species
CGAGUCGGCCGGGUGACCGCUGGGAGACCAGAGGAAAGUCCGGACUCCGCAGAGCACGGUGGUGGGUAACGCCCACCCGGGGCGACCCGCGGGAAAGUGCCACAGAGAACAGACCGCCGCCGCGCGCGGCAAGGGUGAAACGGCGGUGUAAGAGACCACCAGCGGCCCAGGCGACUGGGUCGGCUAGGCAAACCCCACCGGGAGCAAGGCCAAGAAGGGCUUCGGCCCGCGGACGCCGUUCGAGCGCUGCUCGCGCGAGGCGUCCGGGUAGGCCGCGCGCCCGCGCCGAGAGGUUCGGGCGAAGGCGGGCGGAGACGCCCGUCGCAGAUGGAUGGUCACCGACCACAGAAUCCGGCUUACAGGCCGACUCGUCCC